AGCGACUCCAGUGAAAAUACAAGAACAAACAGAGCCAAAGAAAGAAACAACAGAAGAAAAGGACCAGAUACCUAGCAAACUAAAGAAAGAGGCUCCAGUGAAAAAAGUAGAAGAACCAGCACAACCAAAAAAAGAAACAUCUGUGAAAAAACAGGAAGAGCCAGCAGAACA